AGUGAACGCUGGCGGCGUGGAUUAGGCAUGCAAGUCGAACGAUACCGCAAGGUAUAGUGGCAAAAGGGUGAGUAACACGUGAGAAAUUUACCUUUGAGUGGGGAACAACCUUGGGAAACCGAGGCUAAAACCGCAUAAGACCACGACAGGGCAUCCUGUUGUGAUCAAAAGGAGGGACCGCAAGGCCUCUUGCUCGAAGAUGAUCUCGCGACCUAUCAGCUUGUUGGCGGGGUAAUGGCCCACCAAGGCUUUUGACGGGUAGCUGGUCUGAGAGGAUGGUCAGCCACAUUGGGACUGAGACACUGCCCAGACUCCUACGGGUGGCUG
rnacentral:rRNA from 1 species